UACGUAGGUGGCAAGCGUUAUCCGGAAUCAUUGGGCGUAAAGGGUGCGUAGGCGGCUUAUUAAGUCUGUAGUGAAAUCGUGGAGCUCAACUCCAUCAAGCUACGGAAACUGGUGAGCUAGAGUGCGGCAGAGGCUAGUGGAAUUCCAUGUGUAGCGGUAAAAUGCGUAGAUAUAUGGAGGAACACCGGUGGCGAAGGCGGCUAGCUGGGCCGUAACUGACGCUGAGGCACGAAAGCGUGGGGAGC
rnacentral:rRNA from 1 species